rnacentral:lncRNA from 1 species
UUUGUACUCAUAAGUUUUCGAUCAUUUAGAGGAAAAAAAUGUGCGGUUAGAAUGAAAAUGGUUACGAUUAAGUUGAUAGUGAGCCCCCUAGAGUUGAGUGGGUGAUUGGUUGAAUAGUAUAAUCUAACAUGUGAAAAUGAUUAUAGGGUAGAUCUAAUGAUCAAAAACUUAUGAGUACAAUAGGCUCUAUACUCAUAAAAGUAUAGUAGCCGGACUCUAUAUAUAUAUAUAUAUAUAUAUAUAUAUAAAGAGAGAGAGAGAGAGAGAGAGAUAGGCUGGAAUACUAUUGAUAAUAAAAGAUAUUUUUUACUAUCAAGUUUUUAACCCUUAAAUAAAAAAUUAUAGAAUUAGAAUAAUAUUAGUCUCUUAGAGUUGAAUGGUUUUUCUAGAAUUGAGUGGUUCCUACUGAGUUAUAAUAUUUAAUUCAAUAAUUAGAAAUAAUUAAAGGAAUUGAUCUAAAAGCUAAAAAUUUGAUAGCAAAACAGACUUUUUUAUUACCAAUAAUAUUCUAGCCCAACUAGCUCAACUCUGUCUCUGUCUCUGUCUCUCUCUCUCUACAAUGACUCUUCUACACUUC